AUAAUAUAUGUUUGCUUCUUCUUCUUGCGUCGAUCAACACACACACACACCCUACCGAUUGGAAAAUCCUUGUGUUUGCGAGCGAGUCUAUAUUUCUCGCCUCGGAUGAUUUGUUUUGUGUUAGAUUGAAUUAUCUUUGGCUGAUUGGUGUCGUGCGUAUGUGCUUACGGAAGCUGGUUUCUGUGAGUAAAUAGAUCUGAAGAGUAUGAACGAAGAUAGCUGCGUCCCUUACCUCUCUGAUGGUGGUAUCAAACAAAAGUCUAUAGAUCAAAGAUCGCCUCUUCCCGGGGAGCCUAAAUGUGUAAUCUGCUGUCGUUACGGUGAGUACAUUUGUGACGAGACCAAUGAUGACAUCUGCAGUCUCGAGUGUAAGCAAACACUUUUGAAGAAGACUAGAGUGUUUCCUGCCACUGAUGAGUGCUUCUAUGUUGGAUCUUCUUCCACCGAUUAUUAUUCUCUACGGCUUAGAAGCAAGCUUGAUAUUCAUGUCCAAGGAGCAGCAGUUCCUCCUCCUGUCCUCUCUUUCACCUCUUGUGGACUUCCUCCUAAGCUUCUUCUUAAUUUAGAAACGGCUGGUUAUGACUUUCCCACCCCUAUCCAGAUGCAAGCAAUUCCAGCUGCUUUAAGCGGCUCAAGUCUGCUCGCUUCGGCUCACACUGGCUCCGGCAAGACUGCUUCUUUUCUUGUUCCUAUUGUUUCUCGUUGUGCACGUUUUCGCUCUGAGCAUCCCUCCUCAGACCCCAGGAACCCCUUGGCUUUGGUUUUGGCUCCAACUAGAGAGCUCUGCGUCCAAGUUGAAGCUCAGGCUAAGAUGCUCGGAAAGGGACUCCCAUUUAAGACUGCACUUGUUGUAGGCGGGGAUCCCAUGUCUGGACAACUCUACCGCAUUCACCAAGGUGUAGAGUUGAUUAUUGGCACCCCAGGUCGGCUUGUAGACCUUCUAGCAAAGCACACCAUUGAACUAGAGGAUGUUAUGAUGUUUGUGCUGGAUGAGGUUGACUGCAUGCUCCAGAGAGGUUUCAUUGAUCAGGUGAUGCAGAUAUUUAGGGCUUUAUCACAACCGCAGGUCUUGCUGUUCUCAGCGACGGUCUCAAGGGAGGUGGAGAAGGUGGGAGGGUCUCUAGCCAAGGAAAUGAUUUUGGUGUCCAUAGGUAAACCCAACACACCUAGCAAAGCUGUCAAACAAUUGGCUAUAUGGGUUGAUGCAAAGCAAAAGAAACAGAAGCUCUUUGAGAUACUGACAAGUCAAAACCAUUUCAAACCCCCAGCUGUUGUUUAUGUGAGUUCGAGAGCUGGAGCAGAUCUCUUGGCUAAUGCUAUAACUGUGGUGACUGGGAUAAAAGCUCUAUCGAUCCAUGGGGAGAAGCCAAUGAGGGAGAGGAGAGAUGUAAUGGGGUCGUUUUUGGGUGGAGAGGUGCCGCUUCUUGUAUCAACUGGAGUUCUAGGCCGAGGAGUUGACCUGUUGGUAGUAAGGCAGGUAAUCGUGUUUGACAUGCCUAAUACCAUCAAGGAGUACAUACAUGUAAUUGGCAGGGCCUCUAGGAUGGGAGACCAGGGCAGUGCCAUUUUGUUUGUAAACGAGGAGAGCAGACAUCUGUUCCCUGAUUUGGUUGUGGCUUUAAAAAGUUGUGGAGCAGCCAUACCUAAGCAACUUACCAGUUUGACAUCAUCCAGGGAAAUGCACAGCAACAAGAAGAGGAGGGUUGGAUACUGAAAUGUAUGGCCUGGAUUCGAAUGUAUGUUGUAUUAAAAGCAAAGAAAGAAACGAAGACUUGAGAUACUGAGUAGGGGAUAUGGAGAAAAGGUUUACGUUGUUAAGAUUCAGAUUUUCAGAUGCCGAGGAGUGUGAAAUAAAAUCUUAUUUUGACAUAUUGGGUAAAAAAAGGUAGCAGAGACAAAGAACGCGGUUUUGUUACCCGCCAGCCAACUGCCAUUGUCUUAAUAAUGUGGUGAAAGAAAAAGCCAAACUUUGUUUUUGUUCAAUUGUUGAUCACAAAAAAAAAAAAAAAAAA